rnacentral:rRNA from 1 species
AUUACAUGAGAGUUUGAUCCUGGCUCAGGACGAACGCUGGCGGCGUGCCUAAUACAUGCAAGUCG